AUAAGUCCUAACAACUUUAAUAGAUUCUUAAAUAAAUUAUAAUUAAAAAUUAGAAAAUAUAAUCAAACAUCAAUCAAAUUCAAUUAAAAUUUUAAAAGAAUUAUACAAGAGACACAAAGAAUUUCUAGGGACCCUUUAAAAAAAUCAUAAAGAAAUAACAUAGAAUUUCAAAAAAAAUAUACUAAAAUAAAAAACUUAAUAAAAUAUUAAAAUAAAAACCUUAAUUAAAUCCCAAUCAAAAUCAAAUCAAAUCUUAAUCAAACCUUACUCAAACCUUAGUCAAAUUCUUGUCAAAUCUUAGUCAACUCCUAAAUAAACCCUAACCAAAUCCUAGAUAAAUCCUAAUCAACCUCUAAAUAAGUUCUAAUCAAAUCUUAGACAAAUCUUAGUCAAACUCUAAUCAAAUCCUAAUCAAAUCUUAAUCAAAUUCUAAUCAAACCUUAAUCAAAUCUUAAUCAAAUCUUAAUCGAAUCCUAAAUAAAUCCUAAUCAAAUUCUAAAUAAAUCUUAGUCAAAUCCUAGACAAAUUUUUAAUAAGCCUUAGUCAAACUCUAGUCAAAUCCUAAUCAAAUCCUAAUUAAAUCUUAAAUAAAUCUUAAUCAAAUCCUAAUAAAAAUCUAGUCAAAUCCUAAGCAAACCUUAAAUAAGCCCUAACCAAACCUUAGAUAAAUCCUAAGCAAAUCCUAAAUAAAUCCUAACCAAAUCCUAACCUAAACCAAACCCUAAUCUUAACAAAAUCUUAAAUCAAAUCCAAAAAUCCUAAUCCUAACUCUAAUCUAAUCCUAACCUUAAUCAAACCUUAAAACAAUCUAAAAUCCUAAUUUUAAUCCUAAUGCUAAACCAAA
rnacentral:lncRNA from 1 species